rnacentral:lncRNA from 1 species
AAAAAAAAAAAGGGGCUGGUGGUGGGAUGGGCUGGAGUUGUGGCUCAGCAGUAGAGUGCUUACCUAGCACGUGAGAGUCCCUGGAUUUGAUCCUCAGCACCACUAGAACUAAAAAAUAAAUAUUGAAAAGGGAAGACUAAGGGAUACGUAGUUCUGUAGUAACUUGUUCCCAGAUUAAGGCCCAAGGUUCCCCUUAUCCCCUCUCCCUUGUUUGUUCAUAAAAUGGAUCUUUUUUUUUUUUUUAAUUGGGGGGUGAGUACUGGGGACUGAAUUUAGGGGCACACAACCACUGAGCCACAUAUCCAGCUCUAUUUUGUAUUUUUAGAGACGGGGUCUCACUGAGUUGCCAAGUGCCUUGCCAAUGUUUAGGCUGGCUUUGAACUCAUGUUCCCCUGCUCAGCUUCCCCAGCUGCUGGGAUUACAGGUAUGUGCCACUGAGUCUGGAAAGAGUAGGAUUUUUGGAAAGUGACUCUGGUGUGUAUGUCAGAGUAAAAAGUCCUUGUUUCCUACACGGUGCAAAUUAGCUCUUGUUUGAAAUAGAGGUAGGCUCAAUAAGGAAUUGCAAAUAAAUAUGUACAAGAACCAGGCAGUUACUAGAAAUGAAUGAAACAAGCCAGUUGGAGACUGGUGAAUUUAUGACCUUUAUAAACAGGACUUGUGCCAUGUUUAAAGCAUGGCCAGGGUUGCCAGAUUACACUUUCCUAAGGAAGUCAGAUGCAAGUAGCUCAGGGUUCAAUCCCUAGUCCCACCAAAAAAAAAAAAAAAAAAAUUGAAACUUAAAACAUUGUGCCAAAUACACUUGCAGGCUAGUUCUGCAUAUAGAUCACCAGUAUAGCUUCUUUUUUGGCAGGCUGGGUAAGUUGGGAAUUUAUAUACAAGAGGAAAACUAGACAGUUUCAGGGAAGAUGAUUUGAUAAUGGACAAGAGGCAGAUGAUGUGUCAGCAUGAUGUACUGUUUUUUGGAAAGAUGACUGAGUAGACUGGUAUAGUUAAACUCAUUGGCUGCUGUUAUCCAAGUGUAGUUUGUAGGUGUGAAUUAAAUACAGGACUUCGUGUUAAGCAUGAGGAUUUGGGUUCCUGAAAAGACAGUGUACAACCACAAAAGAAUUGUAAUCAAAAUCUGGAGUGCAGAAGGGUGUAUCUUGAGAAUAGUUAUAAAACAGACUUAAUAAAAGUUCUUUCAUAAAGCCUGACAACUACUGAGAAUAUUUUUUUAUAUUGAGGUUCAUCUCUAGAUGUUUUCCUCAUGAUCAAAUCAUUUAGGGUGUUGGCAAAACAUACUUUAGUCCUCAGUUUCUCAAUCAGCAAAUAAUGGUGAGACAAAAUCUGAAUUAUUUAAUUUUAGAAGUUCAUAAUUACCAAAAAUAUAUCAUGUUACCUAUGUCCUAAAAUUUUGUAUGUAGGGUUCAUUCUGUCCUAUCCUUAUACAUUUAAAAAAAUUUUUUUUUAAUUUAAAGUGGUGGUGUGGGGAAUUGAACCCAGGGACUUGGCCCCCUGCUAAGUAAAUGCUCUACCAUUGAGCCACAUCCCCAGUCCUUAAAGUUUAACCUGUAUUACUUAAAAUAUCUUUUUUGCUGUGUUGGAGAAUCAAAAUCAGGGCCUUAUGUAUGUCAGGGAAGUAUUCUGCCAGUAAGUUAUACUUCCUACCCCUAUUCUCUCUCUCUCUGUCACACACACACACACUUAUAAUAUUAUUGAAUCACUUUUUAUGCUGGUCCUCCAGCUUCACCUCAAGCGCCACUACGAAGCCACUGUCCUGCACUGUACCAGAGGGAUGGAUGGACAUGGGGGAAGGCUCCACAUGCUGGGUCCACCACCUCACCCCAACAGGCUGCCCACCUCUCUGGUUUCUUCUUCCAACUCACCUUACCUGGCUGAGGGUUGCCGUCCUCAAGGUGUGUGGGGACCUCCGUGUCUUCCACUGGCACUGACUUCACUGCCAGCAGCGCCUGCAGGGAGCCCACCAGUCCGGGGUAAAAAAGCAAUAGUUUUGCUGUCUACUGGUGCACACCUGUAAUCCCAGUGACUUGGGAGGCUAAGGUAGGAGAAUCACAAGUUCAAGGCUAGACUAAAUAAUGAGACACUUAGUGGUAAAGCAGCUAUAAGUUGAAUCCCCAGUUCCCCCCAGCACCCCCCCAAAAAGGCAAUAGCUUCAAGCCCCAACCCUAGCCACAGUACCCAUAGAGAACUACUUUUGGCUUCACCUCAAUAUAUUUGAAUUUCCUUUCAUUACUGAUUUAUAAAUAUCAACAUCUGUUGGUUUUCACAUUCAUUUUCUUUUCAGGAACCCAAAUCCUUAUGUAUGCCAGGGAAGUGUUCUGCCAGUAAGUUAUACUCCCUAUCCAUAUUUUAUAUAUAUAUAUAUAUAAUCAUAAAUAAGGAUUUAGUUCACUUUUCCAUCUACCAAACCUUAUAUGUUGAGGUAAUUAUAUUCUACGUUUUGUUCCACUGUUACUUUUGUAUGUUUAUUCCUUUUUUCAUCAGUUAAAGGCAGUUAUCCUUGAGACCUCAUAAAGACCUCAUAAAUUGGAGCUGAAGUGUAAUGUGCAUGGCAUUGUGGGACUUUGGGUUCAAUUCCUUUUUUUUUCUUUUAAGAGAGAAUUUUUAAUAUUUUUUUUUUAGUUUUCAGCAGACACAACAUCUUUGUAUGUGGUGCUCAGGAUCGAACCCGGGCCACACAGAUGCCAGGCGAGCGCACUACCACUUGAGCCACAUCCCCAGCCCCUCAAUUCCUAUAGUUAGAUAUUUUUGCAGUGUAAAUUUAAUUUUUUUUUUCUAUAAAUAAUCACAUGUUUAUGCAGCAAAUGACUUUUAUUCUUUGUACCAGGAAUUGAACUCAGGGUGCUUAACCACUGAGUCACAUCCGCAGCCCCCCCUUUUUUUUAUGUUGUGGAUGGAAAUAAUAACUUGCUCCCCCGCCCCCCGCCAUCUUGCUAAGUUUUUAGGAUCUCGCUAAAUUUCUGAGGUUGGCUUUGAACUUGUAAUAAUCCUGCCUUAGCCUCCUAAACUGCUGGGAUUACAGGUGCACAUCACUGCACACUUGUAAAUGAUUUUUAAAUUAGAAAUCAACAAAGACCUAUUGUCUUUUUCUGGGGGGGGCACUUCACCCCUAUCCUUUUCAUUUUUUAUUUCUAGACAGGGUUUCACUAAGUUGCAAAGGCUGAGAUAGGCAGCAUGAGAGAGUGUUUCUCUGGACUUGGUACCCAGAGUUGCUUAAAAAAAGUUUAUCUUAAAAAUUAAGAACAUGAGGAGCUGGGGUUGUGGCUCAGUGGUAGAGCGCUUGCCUAGCAUGCAUGAGGCACUGGGUUUGAUUCUUAGUACCAGAUAAAAACAAAUAAAAAAUAAAGGUCCAUCAACAACUUAAAAAAAAUAAAAAUAAGAACAUGAACUGAUGUUAUGCAAAAAACUUUGUUGUCACAUUUAUUUUUGAAAUUUAGAUGUUUCUUUUUAGUGAAUAUAACUUUCCAGAAGCUCUUCACAGUUUGAAAGGAUAUCAUUUAUAUAGGACUUUAGUAACAUAAGCUGCCUCAUCAAAUUGAUGAUACAAAAGGUACUUCCUUUGUGCUAGUUACUGUGUAUCAUUGCAUAUAUGUACUUUUCAUAAAAUGAUUUAUACUUUAGACAACAGUCGAUACAAAUUCUAGACCCAUAUCUUGACCAGCUUCCUCAAAACCUCUUGUAUACUAUUUUUUUUUUUGAAGGGUGAAUUUUAGAGAUUUUAAACAGAAUUUCGGGGCUGGGGUUGUGGCUCAAUGGUAGAGCACUUGCCUAGCACGUGUGAGGCACUGAGUUCAAUCCUCAACAACACAUAAAAAUAAAUAAAGGUCCAUUGACAACUAAAAAAAAUAUUUAAAAAAAAAUGAAUUUCAAAGAUAGUCAUGAGCCCCUUUGCAUAAUUAGUAGCUAAAUUUGCUAAAUUUUGUGCUCACCCAGCAAAACUUAGAAAAAGCAGGCAGGAAAUAGUUAAAAGGGAUAAGCCUUUUGAUAUCUAUAAGGACAUGUACAUGAAUCUUUAGUCAUGUUACUAUGUCCUCCCUGGUUCUCUUUGCACAUGACCUCUUUAAAUUGCUUCUAUGACUUAACCUUGUUAUUUUUCUCUCUUGAUGUGUUUCUUCUCUGAUUAGAACAUCUUUGUUCACUAGCCUAAUGGUGGAAAAUGCAAGUCCUGGAACAAAGGCACCUGAAGUGGUUCUUCCCAACUCCCCAUCAGGAGAGGGAUUUCACAUUUAAUUUAUAUUUUGGUUUAAACCUACAUUUGGAAUCAGACAUACUGCAUCUGUUUUGAAAACUGGAUACUUUAUCUUUUUUAUUUUUUAAAAAUUAUUUUUCUAGUUUUUUUAAUCUAAUGAAAGUUACUCUCUGUGUAGGACUGUAAGAUAUUGGAACUAGAGGUUACCUUAAAGAUCUGUCUAAACUUAUUUUACAAAGACACAGAGAUGAACUUCUUGAAAGCACUUUAUUAGAACUAAAUACUUAGUUUUUGUAAAUGACAUCUUAGGCAACUGUUUUUUAAAUAGUAUGACUUUGGUUGUCUUUCACUUGCAAAUAUAAAUGACUAUUCCUCCCUUUUGGUCAGUUUACUGGUUUUUGUUUUUGUUUUUGUACUAGGGAUUGAACCCAAGGACAUUUAACCACUGAGACAUAACCCGUGCCCUUUUUAUUUUUUUAUUUUGAGUCAGAGGUCUCACUAGAUUGCUUAAGGCUUUACUGAGUUGCUGAGGCUGGCUUUGAACUUGUGAUCCUCCUGCUUCAAUCUCUUUAUUCAGUAAUUUAUUUUCUAAUGAAUUGUUGGGUUUUGCUAAAUGUCUUUUAAUUUCCCUUCUCUAGCUCAAUGUACUUUUUGCAUGUUUUCUUGACGUUAACACAAAUUUGUAAAGAAUACCAGGUAUAAUUUUAAAAAUUUGUGCCAACCUGCUUGGUGGUACACAUUUGUAAUCCCAGCAAUUUGGGAGGCUGAGAUAGGAAGAUGUAAAGUUUAAGGUCAGCCUGGCCAAUUUUAGGCAAGGUGCUGUAGACGGAUGGAUAGAUCGAACAAAAGAAAGAAUAUAUAGCUCAGUGGUAGUGUACCCCUGGGUUUAGUUCCCAGUAAGGCCAAAAAAACAAAAACAAGAAAAACAACAACGAAAAACAAAACAAUACAUUUGCCCCUUAAUUUUAUUGCUGACAGACUACACCUAAAUAUGAAAGAAACUGGACAAGGUGGUGCACCCCGGUAAUCCCAGCAACUCAGGAGGCUGAGGCAAGAAGAUUGCAAGCUAAAGGCCGGCCUGGGCAACUUACCAAGACCUUUUCUCAAAAUUAAAAAAAAAAAAAAAGUUAUAAAAAGAGAUGAGGAUGUAGCUCAGAGUUAAGAACACUGCCGGCUUCAAUCACCAAUAAGGGGGAGGGGAGAAGAAAGAUUAGUGUUACUUUGAAAAUUUGUGUUGAAAAUUGUGGUCAUCAGUUUUAUUCUUCCAGUUUACUCACAUUCAGGGCAUUGUUAUAAUCCUUGACACUCUUGUGCCGAAAUAGGAGCUUAUUUCCUCUGUGUUCUCAUGGAACUUUGGAAUGCUUCCAUGAAUUGGGGGAUAAGAUAAUAAUAAUGCCUACCUCAUGGAACGAUGAAAUGAGACAGUUCGUAAUAAAGUGUUUAAUAAAUAUUUAAUAAACAGUUCUAGCUCAACAAAUGUUAGGUGUUUUUUAUCAAUAGUGCUUCCAAUUGCGUAUUAUUUAUUUUGAGUGUAUGUGGGUGUGUUGUGUGUGUGUGGUUUUGCUAGGGAUAGAACCCAGGCAAUCUAGGCAAGUGUUUCACUACUGAGUCAGAUCCCAACCUCAACUAUAUGUCAUUUAUAAUUUAAGUCAAUAUAUAUUCUACAUGUUUCAACAUUACAUGGUAUCCUAUUAAUAUGUAUAGCUUUUAUGUUUUUGUGUAUCAGUUGAGAAUUUUAAAAAUAUGUACAUACAUUUAUUACAGAUCUAUUCUAGAUGGGGGCACUAUAAGCCAGGUACAGUGGCACAUGCCUAUACCAAGGAGGCUGAGGCAGGAGGAUUGUGAGUUCAAAUCCAACCUCAGCAACUUAAUGAGACUCACUCUCUCUGUUUAUUUUUUUAAAUAUUUAUUUUUUAGGUAUAGUUGGAUACAAUAUCUUUAAAUAAUUUAUUUUUAUGCGGUGCUGAGGAUCGAACCCAGUACCUCACUAGGCUAGCGCUCUACUGUUGAGCCACAACCCCAGCCCUGUGACUCAAUCUCUUAUUUAAAAAAAAAAAGGGGCUGAUGAUGUGGCUCAGUGGUUAAGUGCCACUGGGUUCAGUCUCUAGUACUAUAAAACCAAAACCCCCCAAAAAAACCCGAUAGGGAACUAGAGUUGUGAAUCAGAUAUGGUUAGCUUUUAAAUCAGAGGCCUAAUGUAAUCUUCAAAAAGUUUACAACUAAUGUUUUUCACUUGGG